GGUUAAGUGAAUAAGGGCGCACGGUGGAUGCCUUGGCACUAGGAGCCGAUGAAGGACGGGACUAACACCGAUAUGCUUUGGGGAGCUGUACGUAAGCUAUGAUCCAGAGAUUUCCGAAUGGGGGAACCCAACAUCUUUAAUAGGAUGUUACGAUUGUGUGAAUACAUAGCACAUUCGAGGUAGACGCAGAGAACUGAAACAUCUAAGUACCUGCAGGAAGAGAAAGAAAAUUCGAUUCCCUGAGUAGCGGCGAGCGAAACGGGAAAAGCCCAAACCAGCAAGCUUGCUUGUUGGGGUUGUAGGACUCCAAUAUGGUAGUUCUUUCAGAUAGUCGAAUGACUUGGAAAAGUCAGUCAAAGAGGGUAAAAACCCCGUAGACGAAAUGUGGAAGACACCUAGGAGGAUCCUGAGUACGGCGGAACACGAGAAAUUCCGUCGGAAUCCGGGAGGACCAUCUCCCAAGGCUAAAUACUCCCUAGUGACCGAUAGUGAACCAGUACCGUGAGGGAAAGGUGAAAAGCACCCCGGAAGGGGAGUGAAAUAGAACCUGAAACCGUGUGCCUACAACAAGUCAAAGCCCGUUAAUGGGUGAUGGCGUGCCUUUUGUAGAAUGAACCGGCGAGUUACGAUUGCAUGCGAGGUUAAGUUGAAGAGACGGAGCCGCAGCGAAAGCGAGUCUGAAUAGGGCGUUUGAGUAUGUAGUCGUAGACCCGAAACCAUGUGAUCUACCCAUGUCCAGGUUGAAGGUGCGGUAAAACGCACUGGAGGACCGAACCCACGUACGUUGAAAAGUGCGGGGAUGAGGUGUGGGUAGCGGAGAAAUUCCAAACGAACUUGGAGAUAGCUGGUUCUCUCCGAAAUAGCUUUAGGGCUAGCCUCGGAAUUGAGAAUGAUGGAGGUAGAGCACUGUUUGGACUAGGGGCCCAUCUCGGGUUACCGAAUUCAGAUAAACUCCGAAUGCCAUUCAUUCAUAUCCGGGAGUCAGACUGUGAGUGAUAAGAUCCAUAGUCGAAAGGGAAACAGCCCAGACCACCAGCUAAGGUCCCAAAAUAUAUGUUAAGUGGAAAAGGAUGUGGGGUUGCACAGACAACUAGGAUGUUGGCUUAGAAGCAGCCAUCAUUUAAAGAGUGCGUAAUAGCUCACUAGUCGAGUGACCCUGCGCCGAAAAUGUACCGGGGCUAAACAUAUUACCGAAGCUGUGGAGUACACCUUUAGGUGUAUUGGUAGGAGAGCGUUCUAAGGGCGUCGAAGGCAGAUCGUGAGGACUGCUGGAGCGCUUAGAAGUGAGAAUGCCGGUAUGAGUAGCGAAAGACAGGUGAGAAUCCUGUCCACCGAAUGACUAAGGUUUCCUGGGGAAGGCUCGUCCGCCCAGGGUUAGUCGGGACCUAAGCCGAGGCCGACAGGCGUAGGCGAUGGAUAACAGGUUGAUAUUCCUGUACCCGUUGUUUUUGUUUGAGCAAUGGAGGGACGCAGGAGGCUAAGGAAUGCAGACGAUCGGAAAUGUCUGUCCAAGCAGUAAGUCUGAAGAGGAGUCAAAUGCUUCUUUUCUUAAGGACAAGCUGUGAUGGGGAGGGAAAUAAUAGUACCGAAGUUCCUGAUGUCACACUGCCGAGAAAAGCUUCUAGUGAGAAAACAGCGGCCCGUACCGCAAACCGACACAGGUAGUCGAGGAGAGAAUCCUAAGGUGAGCGAGAGAACUCUCGUUAAGGAACUCGGCAAAAUGACCCCGUAACUUCGGGAGAAGGGGUGCUGAUCAUACGAUCAGCCGCAGUGAAUAGGCCCAAGCGACUGUUUAUCAAAAACACAGGUCUCUGCAAAAUCGUAAGAUGAAGUAUAGGGGCUGACGCCUGCCCGGUGCUGGAAGGUUAAGAGGAGUGCUUAGCGCAAGCGAAGGUACGAAUUGAAGCCCCAGUAAACGGCGGCCGUAACUAUAACGGUCCUAAGGUAGCGAAAUUCCUUGUCGGGUAAGUUCCGACCCGCACGAAAGGCGUAACGAUUUGGGCACUGUCUCAACGAGAGACUCGGUGAAAUUUUAGUACCUGUGAAGAUGCAGGUUACCCGCGACAGGACGGAAAGACCCCAUGGAGCUUUACUGUAGUUUGAUAUUGAGUGUCUGUACCGCAUGUACAGGAUAGGUAGGAGCCGUAGAAAUCGGAACGCUAGUUUCGAUGGAGGCGCUGGUGGGAUACUACCCCUGCGUUAUGGCCACUCUAACCCGCACCACUAAUCGUGGUGGGAGACAGUGUCAGAUGGGCAGUUUGACUGGGGCGGUCGCCUCCUAAAAGGUAACGGAGGCGCCCAAAGGUUCCCUCAGAAUGGUUGGAAAUCAUUCGAAGAGUGUAAAGGCAGAAGGGAGCUUGACUGCGAGACCAACAAGUCGAGCAGGGACGAAAGUCGGGCUUAGUGAUCCGGUGGUUCCGCAUGGAAGGGCCAUCGCUCAACGGAUAAAAGCUACCCUGGGGAUAACAGGCUUAUCUCCCCCAAGAGUCCACAUCGACGGGGAGGUUUGGCACCUCGAUGUCGGCUCGUCGCAUCCUGGGGCUGUAGUCGGUCCCAAGGGUUGGGCUGUUCGCCCAUUAAAGCGGCACGCGAGCUGGGUUCAGAACGUCGUGAGACAGUUCGGUCCCUAUCCGUCGCGGGCGUUGGAAAUUUGAGAGGAGCUGUCCUUAGUACGAGAGGACCGGGAUGGACUUACCGCUGGUGUACCAGUUGUUCUGCCAAGGGCAUUGCUGGGUAGCUAUGUAGGGAAGGGAUAAACGCUGAAAGCAUCUAAGUGUGAAGCCCACCUCAAGAUGAGAUUUCCCAUUUCUUUAAGAAAGUAAGAUCCCUGAGAGAUGAUCAGGUAGAUAGGUCAGGAGUGGAAGUACAGUGAUGUAUGGAGCGGACUGAUACUAAUCGAUCGAGGACUUAACCAA
rnacentral:rRNA from 1 species